rnacentral:tRNA from 1 species
GCAUUGGUAGUUCAGUGGCAGAAUUCUCUUGCCUUACAUACUGAAGGCCAGGGUUCAACUCCCGGCCAAUGUA